UAACUGCCCAACCUCAGGCAAGUUUCUUGGCCCUUCUUUGUUGUAAUACCCUAUAGAGGUGGCACAAGGAGCAAGUGAGAUAUUUAUACGGCAUUUGGCAUAGGGACUGUCAGAGAGCAGAGGCAGUAUACGAUAACAAUGAUGACUGCAGGUUAGCUCUUGGAGAGGAACUGGCUUCCUCCAAAGGAAUUAGGGUAUAAAUUCCUCUUGUCUCCGAACCCUAUUACCACCCCCAUAGGCCUCGCCCCAUCUCCACUAGCCCCUCAUCUCCCACUUUGGCUCUGGGCCUGACAUGCGCUCCUGUGUUUCCCUGCUGCGGUUCCACGCCUCCGCCCUUCCCUGGCGCACAGCUUGAGCCCCGUGUCCCUUCCGGUUUUGGCCCCGCCCCGCAGGCAGGGCUCCUCCUCCCCCGGUUGUUGAGCCGAGGCCCGGAGUGGUUAACACCCGAGCCUGGGUGUUAAGUAGAGGCCGAGGGGCGAGUGAGAGGGAGUGGGAAGCUGAGGGAGAGGUGCCCUUGAAGAGUUGGGGGCUUGGAGGUUUUCGAAAGCCGGGUGGCGAGGGGCGAAUACGCAAGGGGUCCCGCAGGAACGUGGGACGGGAGGAAGAGAUGCUCUGGGAUUUGGCCAGUGGGGGCCGAGGGAUGAGAGGAGCAGGAGCAGGACCAGGGUCGAUGUUGUCACCUGGCCAGGGAGAGGGAAAUGGCUUGGGACUGACGAGAUCGCGCACCGAAGGGGGUUCUGGUCAUUAGAGGAAGGAUUUAGGUUUGAAGAGGAAGGGGCUAUCGGGUGGCCUUAAAGACCAGAAAAAGAGAAAUGGGCUCAAGAAAGAAAAGGAGCCCUUGGGAGCCCUAAUUUAGGAUUUUGGCAUUUUCACAGGCGUCUUUUAAAGCAUGGGAAUCACUAGGGUAAUAUAAUUGGUUAAUGGGGUUUUCUCAUCUGUGGACAGUGAAUCCUUUUUUAAGAAUAUGAAGUGGGAGGGGUGGUGUUAAAAACACUGAUUUGCCCACAGGACUAGGGGAAGUAGUGAAAAGGAAGUGAAGUUUGGAAAAGAGUGAAAGAGAUUCUGAAAAUAAAGAUAAGCAUUUGGGUUUCUUGUAACAGUAAUAGUGUGAUUUUCUUUGUAUUUUAAAAAAAAUAUAUCUUAAAUACUAGACAAGUGUAGAUCUUUAAAAAAAGAAUGAAAAGGCUUAAAUUUGAAACAAGAAUUUGGACGUUUCGAUUUUACUGAUACUCAGUAUUGACUGGUUUCACUUUGGCAGCUUGAGUUGAGGCAUAUUUGCCACAGGGUAAAAAUAUAGUGAAUGCAAAUGUCUAGGUUGAAAAGGAACAUAAAACUAUGUGUGAAAUCACCACAGUUCAAGAGGCUACCAGAUCUUUCUCUCACCCAUAAUGAGUUAUCUCUUGAAAAGUGGAACGGUACUUUUGAAGGAUUUGCAGAACUAAAAUUAAUGUAAUUUUGAAGCGAUUUUAUGAGUAAUAUUUUAUAGUUAAUAAUAGAGUUAUCUAGAAAAAUAAAGGGGAUCUUGUAGUUGGCGGUUAACACAGCAGAUAGGUGGGUACACAGAUGCCUUUCAUAGAAGACGUAGCACCAAAGCCAUAAUUGUGCCAGAAAAAUAAUGAUGGCAGGAUUUAUAUUCUCUUUAGUAGAAAUAGAUUAAUUUCUUUUUGUAAUUGUUAAGUUAUAACGUGGCUUCCUGAAAUGGUGGUUAAGAGUUUAGCCACAUCUCAUUUGUUUUACUUUUACAACUUUUUAUCCAGUUACAGGUUUGCAAAGUUGUUUGCUAUUUCAAAACAAUCUUUUAAUCAAAUAUUCCUACUCUAAAUGGGUAUCUACCGUUUAAUCUUCAGGAGAUGAUAAUUUACUGAUUGCAGCAAGCUGUUAAAUUAAUUUAUGUAUAUAGAUUUUGUUAUCUUCAAAUGCUUAUGGGCUAAUAAUUAUUUCUUCAAAGAGAAGAUGAAUUCUUUGCUUUGCUUUUAGCUGUUAAAAGAUUAACUCUCUUUUCUUUAAAUUUAUACAAUUUUUAGUUGAAGUAUACAUAGUAUUACUAUUAUUUGUUUUUAUUUGUUUGCCCUCACCAGGCUGAAAUUCUCUAGAGACCUAUCUUCAUACUUAGCUCUAAAUAAGUCUUGGCGUGUAAAAAUUGCUGAACUGAACUGAAAUGUAAGAACUCUCUAUUAAGGUUACAUCUUAAUGUUACUGCAAAAUUAAAGAAACUGUUAGAUGAAGUUGUGUAAAUAAUAUGUUAUUAUGCAUAAUAGUUAUUUUGUCUUUGUUUUGCUUUGACAGUUUUUACUGCCACUUAGUUAUAAAGAAAGUAAGUUUUAUGAUAGAGCAGUUUCUCUAAGGCAAGAAAAUCUACAUUAUUACAGAAGAAGGCAUCAUUAUAGUGAUGGCAGAACAUGCAGGCAUAUUUAGGUAAAUCAGUUUUGAUUGCAGUAGCAUCCUCUCCAUUCUGCAAAGAUUUCGCAUCACAUAAGUUUUGUAAAUAUUUUUAUUUUGUUAAUUACUAGAUCUUCAACAGUUUUUCAACACUUUACAACAUAGGUGAUUUAAAGACAUUUUCAUGUUUUUUUCUCAGAAUUGAAAUUUGAACAUUGUUUUUGAGAAACUAUUGAAUCACAGAUGUUCUAAUGAAUAUUAUUAUUUUAUCUUAUAAGAAUGACCAUAUUAACUAGCUCUUCUUUCAAAAUUCUUACCUCCAGGCCUGAUGUGAUAUUAGGAUGUUAAUCAUGACAGUGAUUCUUUAGGUCUUAUUGUUCUCUUGACUUUGAGAAAUCAAGAGGUUAACUAAAUAUAGAAGAGCAUGGGCCAGGCACUCUGGGAAAGCAUUUCAGUGUUUACAUGCUGCCUUUGUCACUGUCUGGUAAUUUGCCAUUUGAAUAUUGGAACGUGGAUUUGUAGCAGACCUGCGCCCUCUCCUCUUAUACACAUAGCACCAUCAUCACUGGACCUUUAAGCCUAACCCUCUUGAGUCUUGACUUCAUGCUUCCAUAUCGGAAGUGUUUUAUUACUUCACUGCACACUGGGCCUUACUAGUAAUACAGUCACUUCACCGCAGAUUGUAACAUAAUGUGAGUAUAUCUUGGCUUUUGCUUAUGGUGGUAAAAGCUAGGAAAACUUGGUUAUAAUAUUUCAGCACCAUGUUUCAGAACAAAAUAAUGUUUUCUGAUGUGUACCUUGAAAGAAUGUUGUGGAGGCCGAGACUUAUAUUUGUCUUGAUUUUUUUUUUUUUCUUCUUUUUUAUUGGCUGCACCCUCUGCAUAUGGAACUUUCUGGGCCAGGGAUCAAAUCUAAGGCACAAUUGCAUUCUAGGCCACAGCUGGACAGCACUGGAUCCUAACCCCCUGCACAACAACAGGAACUCCUGUCUUGAAUUUGUAUUGUGCAUUUAGAUUAGCUUUUGAAUUGUGACAAAGGACAAAAAGAGGUGGUGAUGUAUCUGUUAUCUUGACCUCAUUUCUGUUCUUUGAAAAUUCUUGACGGGUGUUUUAGUAGGAGGAGAGGACCAUGAAUUCUGCUAAUUUAGGGUCAUCCUGUAAGUUAAACUGUAUAUUAAAAUAUCUCACUGAGAUAUUGGAAAUGCCUGCAAAUUGGUUUUGGUUUGGCACUCUGAAACUAAAGUAAAUCUAGAUCAGCUUUAUCAAUAUAAUAUUGGCAUGAAAGUCAGAGAUUGCCAUAACCAUACAUUAAAGUUUGGCGCCAGGAGUUCUCCUGUGGCACAGUGGGUUAAGGAUCUGAUAUUGUCCCUGCCGUGGCUUGGGUUGCUGCUGUGGUACAGGUUUGAUCCCUAGCUUGAGAACUUCCACAUGCUGAGAGCGUGGCCAAGAAAAAAAAAAAAAAAAAAGCCUUCAAAUUCAUAAUAUGUCUACAAUGUUCUAGUGGAGUUGAAGUCUUGAGCCAGUUUCUCAUUUUCUAUUAUGUUGAUUUGAUUUGGGGAUAUAUGUAGCAUAUUUAAAAAUAAAAAUAAAUAUUUUUACCAGUCAACCUAUCAAACCUCUGCUAACCUGUCCAAAUGUUAUUUUAGUGACUAGAAUAAGAAUUCAAAUAUUGUAUACUUGGCUUCUUUACUAAUGUGUUCUGGCUUGCAGCCAGAUUAAGGAUGCUUCAUCAAACUUACCUCUGUAUUUUGACCAUUGUGUAGAAACAUUUACUGUAACUGAGUGAGGAUAUAAACUGUCUAUUAGAUUCUUUAUAAACUGUCUAUUAGAUUCUUUUUUUUUUUUUUGACUGCACCCAAAUCGUAUGGAAGUUCCUGGGCCAGGUAUUGAAUCCAAGCUGCAACUGUGUCCUAUGCCACUGCUGCAGCAACACUGGAUUCUUAACCACUGGGCUGGAAUCAAAUCUUCACAGCCACAGAAUCAAUGCCAAAUCCUUAACCUGCUGCAUCACAGCUUAAGUUCUGCACAAGAACUCCCUAUAUUCUUAUUCAUUGAACUGAGGCAGUUCUGAAUGUCAUUUAAGGGUUAGAUACAAGCUGAUAGUGGAAGUUUUAGUUUAAAGGCAAGUUGGAACCAGAAAAUGUUUGUGUUCUUUGGUUUAUAUGACACAUUUUUUUUAAAUAAAAGUGUAAGUGCAUGGUCUGCACAGCAAAAAAAAAAAAAAAAAAAAAAA
rnacentral:lncRNA from 1 species